GAGGUCGACGGAAUUCCGGGUGGAGUGGUGAAAUGCGUAGAGAUCCGGAGGAACAUCAGUGGCGAAGGCGGUCGGCUAGGUCUUAUCUGACGCUGAGGUGCGAAAGCGUGGGUAGCGAACGGGAUUAGAAACCCCAGUAGUCCACGCCGUAAACGAUGCAGACUAGAUGUUGGUAGCCGUAGAGGUUAUGAGUGUCGAAGCAAACGCGAUAAGUCUGCCGCCUGGGGAGUACGGUCGCAAGGCUAAAACUCAAAGGAAUUGACGGGGGCCCGCACAAGCGGUGGAACAUGUGGUCUAAUUCGAUGAUACGCGAGGAACCUUACCUGGGCUUAAAUGGGGAGUGACAGGGGUAGAAAUACCCUUUUCUUCGGACACUCUUCAAGGUGCUGCACGGUUGUCGUCAGCUCGUGCCGUGAGGUGUCGGGUUAAGUCCCAUAACGAGCGCAACCCCUGUUGUCAGUUACCAGCACGUAAAGGUGGGGACUCUGGCAAGACUGCCGGUGUAAACCGCGAGGAAGGUGGGGAUGACGUCAAAUCAGCACGGCCCUUACGUCCAGGGCUACACACGUGUUACAAUGGCCAGUACAAAGGGCAGCUACACAGCAAUGUGAUGCUAAUCUCGAAAACUGGUCCCAGUUCGGAUUGGAGUCUGCAACCCGACUUCAUGAAG
rnacentral:rRNA from 1 species